ACAUACACGCAAACACGCACGCGCGCAUGGGCUCGGACACACAAAGAACCCGGGCUCGCCGAGCGCGCGCGCACACCCUCAUGCCGCGCGGCGAACGUUCGUUGCCAGGUGCGGCAGCCCGCCCUGGGCGCCUCCUGCCUGCGGAAGAAGAGCAGGACAGACCCGACCCGACCCGCCUAGUCCUUUCCUUCACAGCAGCCUCCAAACUCCACCGCUCGCCUCUUCCGCCAGGCUCCUAGGAUGAGGCCCAGGGCUCCUGGAGCAGCCAGGUGCAAACCAGACCGGGCUCGCACUCCACUGCGUUGCCCUGGGCGAUCGUCCACGUUCUGGGAGACUCGGUAUGCCCCGGGAGGGUGGCCUGAGCUUGUGGUGUGAAGCCAGGUACAGAGCUCCAGAAUCCUGGCCUUGCCAUGGCUGUGUGACCCUGGGCAAGUGACUCAAUUUCUCUGCCUCAGUGUCCUCAUCUAUAAAAUGGAAAGGAAAAUAGUAGCGCUUGUCUCCUCCGGCUGUUAUGAAGAUCCAAGGUUAACAGCGUAGAGAACUCGGAACGCACCCGGCAUCUAGGAAGUGCCAAGCCAGUGUCAGCUAAUGUGACUAUUUUUAAAUGGAGAUGGGGAGUGUGCCAUUAUUCUUGUCCUUAUUUGAAUGAACGGGCCCUCAGGGACCAUUUUCCACUGCCCCGCCCUGGCAGCAUGAGAGGGAAACGCUGUGAGAACCCCGAACCCCAGCCUUCUCCUGUCCCUCUCUCUCUCUCUCUCUCUCUGCACCUGGGAGGCGGGGAGGAGAGAGCCGAUCCUUCCACCAUUUACACGGAGAAUGAAAGAAGAAAUACCGGCCAGGCGCGGUGGCUCAUGCCUGUAAUCCCAGCACUUUGGGAGGCCGAGGGGGCAGAUCACCUGAGGUCAGGAGUUCGAGACCAGCCUGGCCAACAUGGCGAAACUCCGUCUCUACUAAAAGUACAAAAAUUAGCCUGGCGUGGUGCCGGGUGCCUAUAAUCCCAGCUACUCAGGAGGCUGAGGCAGGAGAAUCCCUUGAACCCGGGAGGCGGAGGUUGCAGUGAGCCGAGAUCACGCCACUGCACUCCAGCCUGGGUGACAAGAAUGAGUCUCAAAAAAACAAAAAAGAAGAAGAAGAAGAAAUACCACACAGGUCCGACCAAGAGCUGCCCCCACUCAGGCCAGGAUCCCUGCCUGGAAGGGCUCUGCAGCCACUCUCCCUGUACAGCCCCAGGAUGCUAAGGAGCAUCCCGAAGUGACACUGGCUCUCCCUGGAGGCCCCUGCCAUCGGACUCCAACCUGACCUUCCAGUGGGUGCUCCUCAUACUGGCUCCAGCCAAGACAGACGAGGACCACUGGGCACAUGCCCUUCCUUGCCUUCCUGUCACCCUUCCCACCCUUCUCUGCGGGCCCCGGGUGGCCCCUUCCUCCAGGAAGCACCUGGGGAUCAGCAGUGCCUCUAGGGUCCCAGUGGCCCACGUGACAUCUGCUUCUGGCCACCUGAGCACUCUCCUUUGAGUUCAGGGUCACUGUACCCUUUUAUAGGUGAGCAAACGAAAGCUGAGGAAGAGGAGUGACUGGGUCUCCCACAUCCCUCUGCUUCAGCUAUGAGGUUCCCUCAUGAACUGCAGGAAUAGACGUCAAGCAAAAACUCCUCAGACGCCCUGUGCAUGUGUGGUCGCACAGGGCACAAAGACUGAAGCAAAGGGGCAGGUCCUAGCGUGGGGAGGGGACUCCAGGAUUGAAGUUUGAACCAAAAGGAGGCUUUGACUAAGCCACGAGCAGUGAAGCCGGCAGGAGAGGAAGCAAGUUCUAGCAGAGGUGCCUGCCGUGCGAAGGCCUGAGAGCAAGGUUGUUGGUGGCAGGGCUGAGCUUGAGGGUCUGAGAGAGUGAGCAAGGGCAGUGGCUGUGGGAGGAGGGAAGAGUUGUGUGUUCAGAGCUGCAACUUGGAAAGGCCCAUGGGAUCCUUUGACCUCCAGGUAGGCCAGCGGAGCCUCAUGCAGGUAGUGCCAGCGCAAGACACACGAGUGAACCAUCUAUCCAGUUACCAGCUCCAUGAGGGAUGGGAUCUGUUCUUUUGCCUCCAUCAACUCCUGGAGUCUAUCAUAGGCCUGACACACAGUAGGUACUCAAUAAGUGUUUGCUGCAUUUAUUUUAACGUACUUUUCUUUUUUUUCUUUUAAAACGGAGUUUCGCUCUUGUUGCCCAGGCUGGAGUCCAAUGGCGCAAUCUCAGCUCACUGUAACCUCCGCUUCCUGGGUUCAAGUGAUUCUCCUGCCUCAGCCCCGCUAGUAGCUGGCAUUACAGGCAUGCGCCACCACGCCUGGCUAAUUUUGUGUUUUUAGUAGAGAUGGGGUUUCUCCAUGUUGAUCAGGCUGGUCUCAAACUCCCAACCUCAGGUGAUCUGCCUGCCUCGGCCUCCCAAAGUGCUGAGAUUACAGGCGUGAGCCACCGUGCCUGGCUUUAACUUACUUUUCUUUGGCACUUAACUAUGUACCCUGCACAGUUAAAUGCAUUUUAAUAAGUUAACCCUUUUCAUCCCGACAACACCCCUAUGAGAUUGGUACAAUUAUUUCUUCCGUUUUAUAGAAGGUAAAACCGAGCCACAGAGAAGUUAAGUAACUUCCCCAAGGUCACUCAGCUGGCAGAUAGUAGAGCUGGAAUUCAAACCUAGGCCACCUGGCUCCAGAGGUUACAAUCUUGAAUGAGGGGAUUCUGGGUGGGCGAUUGCCAGACAAAAAAACCCAGCCCCAAGGAGAGAAAGGAGGAGAAGGAGGCAAGAAGAGCCCCAACCUCAGCCCCAGGGAGAGGUGGCAGAUGAGGUGGAAAAGGGAUGGUCAGACCGGAGAAGGGGCCAGGAGGAGCCAAUGCCAAAGCUAGAGGCAUGCACAGGGUGGAGAGAGCUCAGUGCGGGAGGCCACAGACCCUAGCUCCACCUCAGCCCUGUGGCUUCCCAGUUGUGUGACUUGGGCCUGCAGGCCUGCUCUCUGAGCCUCAGUUUCCUCAUUGUAAUAUGAGAUAAAAUACACCCUGCCUCAAUGAGCCAUUCUGAGGAGAGGAGAAGUCUCGAACUGGAGGCCUUAAACCGAAUCCAGCUCCCAGAUGUGCUUCUUUGGCUGUCACUGAGCUUUAAUGUGUUUGGAGUUAAUUUUUAUGAAUAAAAGCUUGGAAGAUUUCACAUUUAAAAAAUCUGGCCAGGCUGGGCAACAAAGUAAAAUUCCAUCUCUAUGAAAAUUUUUUUUAGAAAUUCGCCGGGUAUGGUGGUGCAUGCCUAUGGUCCCAGCUACUCAGGAGGCUGAGGCAGGAGGAUCACUUGAGCCCGGGAGGUGAAGGCUGCGGUAAGCUAUGACUACACCACUGCACUCCAGCCUAGGUGCGAGAGCAAGACCCUGUCUCCAAACAACAACAACAACAACAAAAUCUGAAUGCCUGGUUUAUCUUGAAAUAUGGCAAAAUGGGGCCACCCAGGCCCAUUAACCCCCUGUCUACAAUGUCCUGGAGCUGAGGGGCAUUAGCCACCCUCUCACAUGGGCUCCCCAGGGUGCCACAGCUCCCUCCUAGCUAGUUUGCUCUUUUCUGUCACCUACCGGCCCUUGCAGGGAGCUGAAUUUGAGACCCAUGAUGCACUUUGUGCACCCUGCCCCCUCAAAGAUAACUGUGAGUACCAAGGGAAAUGGAAAGCUUUGGCAACAAGAAGGGAGCUUCAAGGAAAGCCAGGCCGAGGUUCCCCUCAGAACCAUAGACUAGCCUGAAAUUCCACUGGGACUAAUUCUUCUCAUUUCAAGAAUGAAAAUCGAUUGCUGGACAGAGCUCCCGGAGGGCCAAUUUUCAGGCUGUAGUCUACAGCCGUCCACGUAGAGGCAGUGAACGAAAUUUUUCAAAGCCUACUUUAUGAUUACUUUCUUUAGCAGCUCUCAACAGUAAAAUAAAAUUGAUCUAGGACUUUGAACAAAACUUCUCGCCCCUUUCUAGGGAAGAGUUUGUCUCGUCUAUCAGGCCACCAACAAGAGUUGUUGCAAUGCCUGUGGGAGGUGCAGCCCACGCUGGGCCACCUGGCCAGCUCAGGGAUCCUGCUGGAGAUCGAGGAUUGUCUGGUCGGCCUCUUACAACUCUCAGAACAUCAUCCCUGGGAGCAGCCCUGAAGAGACCAAGGGUCAGUGGCGGGGCUGCUGAGUGGCUGCCUCCCUGACCUGGCCAGCAUUUCCUGGGCACACUGCAGUGUGUCCACGUCCCUGGGUGUGUAGGUGGCUGCAGAGCCUUGUCAGAGCAUCUGGGCCUUCAGGGAUCUGCUUCCUGCCCACUACCCUCCUCUUGCCUGCCUGCAAAUCUCAGCUCCAUCCCUCAUGGGCUGUGUGACCUAGAGUGAAUAAUGUGACCUCUCUGUGCCUUGGUUUCUUGAUUUGUACAGCCUGAUUAAUCAUAACCCCUCUCCUGCAGAUUGUUGUGUGGAGUGAGUGGAGAUGAUUGAUGUGAAGCGUUGAGCCAGGUCCCUGGCACACAGUCUAACACUCUGGAAAGCAGGACCCCCACCUACCCCUGCCACCUGUGUGCUCCAGGCUUUCUUGCCUCCAGGCCUUCACCCUUGCUGCUCCCUCCUGCCAAGCACUUUGCCCAUUGCCCUUCUGCAACCUGGGUCUCUGCCAAACUUGGAGCCCCAGAAAGGGAGCACGCAGGAAGCGGGGAUGCCAAGCAGUCCCAGCAUGGGGCCUGGAGCACAGUGGACCCCAGGAAACCCUUGCAGGAUGUGGUCUGUGGGUGGCAAGUGCCUGGGCUCACUUCCUCUUCUCCCUCAGUGGGCACAGCAAAACUGCCCCAGAACUGGACAGACAGGGAAGGUGUCAGUACUGGAGACAGCUCUGCAGGGGACCGGGGACCCACAGUACAUUUAUUCAUUCACUAGCACUGCAGACAGAUGCUCUCCAGCUUCACAGACACCCCAGGCCAGGCCAUGUUCUCUCCCUUCUGGGUGACUGCAGGGGAUGCUUUCCUCCCUGGCUUCCUCUCCUCCCCGACAGCCCAUCUCCACUCCUGGGACUCUCUAUGGCAUAUAGCCAUUGCAGCAAACAAUUUGGUAGUUUCUCUUCUUUUCUUUUCUUUCUUUUUUCUCUUUUUUUUUCUGAGACAAAGUCUCUAAAAAAUGCUGUGUUGCCCAAACUGGCCUUGAACUCCUGGGCUCCAGUGAUCCUCGCACCUCAGCCUCCUAAGUAACCGGGGCUAUAGGCACACCACCACACCCAGCUACUCUGGCAGUUUCUGAUAAGGUUAUAAAUUUAUUGUAAGAUUAAACACAACACUAUGAGCCAGCAAUUGCACGCUCAGGUAAUUGGCCAGAAAGAAAUGAAAAUAUUUGUUCACCCAAAGACUUGUGAAUGGCAGUGGUAUUCAUACAGUCCAAAACGGAAACAGCCCUGGUUGUAUCUAUCAAUAGAAUGGAAAAACAGAUGGAAGGACUGCAACUCACAGGUGAAAAGGAACCGGCUACGAGAGGCUCCAAACCAAGGGAGCAGCGGAGUUUGUCUCCAAAACACCGAGCCCAGUGAGAGAAGCCAGAGCCACAGACCAGAUGCCCUGCAGUGGGUCCCUUUACAUGGCCUUCAAAGUCAGGCAGAGUGAAUUGAGGGCCAUGGGAAUAGGAGCAGUGGUUGCCUCCAGAGGUGAAGUGGGAUGGGGUGAGGUGGUGUGGGGUGGUGUGGGGUGGGUGGGGUAUGAGAGAACCUGCGGGAUGGGAAGGGGCUCCAUCCUUACCUGGGGCAGGUCACUCCAGUGUGUGCUGUCGCGUUUCACUGUAGGAAGUGUAGACCUCAGUAAAAAUCCCAAGGAAAACCCCCAGACCCACUCAGGCUUCCUUCCUGCUUUGAACCACCUCAUGGCCCCCACCACACUGCCACUAAGCCACACUCCUGGCAGCCUCUGAGAUACCCCCUACCUGACCCUCCGCCACUCUCCUCCUCUGCCUCCCUCACUCCCAGCCUCUCUGGCCCCCUGGCUUUCCCUCCAACUCCAGGCUCCCCUCUCUCUGCCUCAGGGCCUUUGCCCCUGUCUUGCUCCCUGCCCCAGGCUCUUCCCCUCAGCCCUUCCCAGGUCUGGCUCCUUCUCCCUAGGCCUCAGCUCCAGUGUCUCAUCCCCAGAGACCUUCCCAGACCACCAUGUCUCAGACAGCCCCGGCUGCCUCCUGCCUGCCCUGCACCAGCCCUGAGCCAUCGCCUCAUUUUAUUCUCAUUCUAACUUGGAUAAUGGGAUCUGCCUCUUACCAACUGUGACCUUAGGCACAGGAUCAGCCCCAAAUUGAGCCUCAUUUUGUCCAUCUGUAAAAUGAGGAUGGCACUAGAGCCCCGUCUAGGGUGAAUGUGAAGGUCAGAGCCUGCACAAGCCUUCAGGGUUUAAUGCCCUGCUGUGUCCAUGUGCUCAGCUCAUAGCCACCAUGCAUGACUUGGGACUUCUGAAUGGGACCAAGAAAUAUCUAACAUGCGAUUUCCUGGAAAGCACAUAGGAGUUUGGCCCAGAUCCAGACUUGGCAGUUGCUCAAUCAAGAAGAAGCUGCCAGGCACAGUGGCUUGUGCCUGUAACCCCAGAACUUUGAGAGGCUGAGCGGGGUGGAUCACCCAAAGUCAGGAGUUCAAGACCAGCCUGGCCAACAUGGUGAAAUGCCGUCUCUACUAAAAAUACAAAAAUUCGCUGGGUGUGGUGGUGGGUGCUUGUAAUCCUAGCUACUCAGGAGGCUGAGACAGGAGAAUCCCUUGAACCCAGAGGCAGAGGUUACAGUGAGCCGAGAUCGUGCCACUGCCCUCCAGCCUGGGCAACAAAGAGUGAAACUCUUGUCUAAAAAAAAAAAGAAGAAGAAGAAGGAGAAGGAGAAGGAGCGGGAGAAGGAGAAGAAGAAGAAGAAGAAGAAGCCUCAGUGAAGUGCUCCAGCAUCUUCACCCCCUUGGUCACUUGCUCAUCUCCUUGAUGAACAAAAGCGGCCCCAGAUCAGAGCCAUCGAGCACCUGCAGCCAGCAAGGUUGGCUGGUUUUCAUUGUGUGCAUUUUUAAGGCGUCUUCUAUUUAUAGAAAGGAUUGUGGUCUUGCAUUUGUAGCAGCGAUGAAAGCUUUACUUUUUGGCAAAAUGUGUGCAAGUUGUUUAGAAGUGAGUCUGUUUGAAAAAAAAAAUUAAAUGAAUAAUGAUUUAGGAGGUGAGUUUGUUUCCUAGGGCUGCUGUGAUGAAGUGCCA
rnacentral:lncRNA from 1 species